CCUACGGGAGGCAGCAGUGGGGAAUAUUGGGCAAUGGGCGCAAGCCUGACCCAGCAACGCCGCGUGAAGGAAGAAGGCUUUCGGGUUGUAAACUUCUUUUCUCAGGGACGAAGAAAGUGACGGUACCUGAGGAAUAAGCCACGGCUAACUACGUGCCAGCAGCAGCGGCAAUACGUAGGUGGCAAGCGUUAUCCGGAUUUACUGGGUGUAAAGGGCGUGUAGGCGGGAAAGCAAGUCAGAUGUGAAAACCAUGGGCUCAACCUGUGGCCUGCAUUUGAAACUGUUUUUCUUGAGUACUGGAGAGGCAGGCGGAAUGCCUAGUGUAGCGGUGAAAUGCGUAGAUAUUAGGAGGAACACCAGUGGCGAAGGCGGUCUGCUGGACAGCAACUGACGCUGAGGCGCGAAAGCGUGGGGAGCAAACAGGAUUAGAUACCCCAGUAGUC
rnacentral:rRNA from 1 species